GCACUUACACUAGCUGAGUAACGGGUAUCAGAUAGUCGGGGAACUCGACUAUAGCGUUCUCUCUUGUUUUUACCGUGCCAUUAUGCUCUAUAGAUUGCAUGAUUCUAAAUCGAUGAUUUCUGAUGCCUGUAAUUUAAUCCCUAUUUAAAAUUAUACCCUUUUCCACAUGUGGCCAAUAUGGAAAAGUAUCAAAAGGGUUUUCCUUGACUGAUUUGUUGCUAUCCCUCGUCAGAAAGUGAAAUCGACAAGGAUCCACUCGAGGUAGCAAAUAACUAAAAGAUUUUGCCUAAGCCUGAAAAUAGGCAAUGCCUUUUGUAAAAUGCCUGCAGAAAGGAUUUACAAUUUGUGAAAUGGAUUCAACAAUUUGCAGGGUGGGGAGUGCAAAUAGAAUACUUUCCUGACCCGUCCCCAAAAAUAUUAGCAUAAGUGCCCCGAAUUGAAGGGAGCUUUAGAUUUCUGGGGCAGGUUGAAGAAUUCAAGAAAUGUAAAUAAAAUCAACUGCGGAAGGACAAAAGGAACAACAACGGAGGGUAGAAAAAAGCAGAAGGUGCCGGUCGACAGGAAAAAUAUCAUUCUGAAAACGCUUGACAGCCACUUACACAUGUCAAAUGCAACAACACCAAAGUGGAUAAGACUAGGAAACCAAAAAAAGAAAAAAAAAAAAUGAAAUACAAAGAAAAAAAGAAAAAGGAUAACGAGUAAAACGGAUAUUAGAGUAUUAGACAGGAAGCUGGUUGACAUGGUUGGCUCUUCGUUUCUCCAUUUUGCUCCGAAAUGGUUGCCAGAUGGCCAAUGGACCAACUUCCCAAGUGCAAGUAAGCCGAUUUGGCGAUUUUGUUUGUCGGCUCGAUGUUGCCGAUGCUAAUAAGUUGUAAGUGGAUUAGGAACGUAUCGAAAAACCUUGGCAAGUUGGAAGGACAAAAAUGGGAAUUUUGCAAAAGUAUCUAAUUAAAUUUCUGAAGUUAUUUUCGUAAAAAGAUGUAUUGACAAGCCGACUAGCUAGUUAUGAAUUAUAAUUGAGGAAAAUAUAUAGAUUCAAGUUAGUUUAAUUGAGUUUCAGAAUUAUUGAAA